rnacentral:rRNA from 1 species
CGGGGUGAGUAACGCGUGGAAAACCUGCCGUAUACUGGGGGAUAACACUUAGAAAUAGGUGCUAAUACCGCAUAAGCGCACAGACCCGCAUGGGACAGUGUGGAAAACAAAAAGCUAAAGCUUUUUAUGGUAUACGAUGGUUCCGCGUCUGAUUAGCUUGUUGGCGGGGUAACGGCCCACCAAGGCGACGAUCAGUAGCCGGCCUGAGAGGGUGAACGGCCACAUUGGGACUGAGACACGGCCCAGACUCCUACGGGAGGCAGCAG